rnacentral:rRNA from 1 species
GCUUUCGGGCUGAGUAGAGCGGCGGACGGGUGAGUAACGCGUAGGAAUCUACCUGGUAGUGGGGGACAACUUGGGGAAACUCAAGCUAAUACCGCAUACGCCCUAAGGGGGAAAGCGGGGGACCUUCGGGCCUCGCGCUAUCGGAUGAGCCUGCGUAGGAUUAGCUAGUUGGUGGGGUAAAGGCCCACCAAGGCGACGAUCCUUAGCUGGUCUGAGAGGAUGAUCAGCCACACUGGAACUGAGACACGGUCCAGACUCCUACGGGAGGCAGCAGUGGGGAAUAUUGCGCAAUGGGCGAAAGCCUGACGCAGCCAUGCCGCGUGUGUGAAGAAGGCCUUAGGGUUGUAAAGCACUUUCAAUUGGGAAGAAAAGUUUGUCGUUAAUAGCGCCAAGCUCUGACAUUACCUUUAGAAGAAGCACCGGCUAACUCCGUGCCAGCAGCCGCGGUAAUACGGAGGGUGCGAGCGUUAAUCGGAAUUACUGGGCGUAAAGCGCGCGUAGGCGGUUUGUUAAGUCAGCUGUGAAAGCCCCGGGCUCAAC